ACGGUUAAUUUUGAUCCCCCCCUCUUUCUAUCGUCCUCUCCUCGGUCUCCCUCCCUCUCCAAAGAACGGAAGGAUGAUUAGCGUUAGAGGAGGAAGAUUUUUCAGCUUUACUGUGGAGCCAUGACCUCCAUAUUUUGAGGUGUGUUGAAAAAAGUGAACAGAUAAUUAGCAUGUUCGAAGAACAUGAGACAUAUAUACUUGGUCAGUCAGGUGAGCUACGUUCUGGGGUUUUGGGGGCG
rnacentral:lncRNA from 1 species